rnacentral:lncRNA from 1 species
GAAAAGUGAAGGCUCACACAAGACUCUUUGUUUGCUAUUUGAUUUCGUGCCCGUAAGCGGACUCGCUGGAUAAAAUCUGUCAUGUGUGUGUGCGUUUACUUUAGUUUAUUUUAGCUCACUUUUGUUGUUUCUUUAACUAUAUGUAUAUCCUUUUUGGCUAAUCUCAUGGUUUGAUUGAGUUUGGUUUAUGACCCCUAGCUUUAUGUAUUUUC